GUGAACGCUGGCGGCAGGCCUAACACAUGCAAGUCGAACGGCAGCACAAGAGAGCUUGCUCUCUGGGUGGCGAGUGGCGGACGGGUGAGGAAUGCAUCGGAAUCUGCCCAUUUGUGGGGGAUAACCUCGGGAAACCGGGACUAAUACCGCAUACGACCUACGGGUGAAAGCAGGGGAUCUUCGGACCUUGCGCAGAUGGAUGAGCCGAUGCCGGAUUAGCUAGUUGGAGGGGUAAAGGCCCACCAAGGCGACGAUCCGUAGCUGGUCUGAGAGGAUGAUCAGCCACACUGGGACUGAGACACGGCCCAGCCUCCUACGGGAGGCAGCAGUGGGGAAUAUUGGACAAUGGGCGCAAGCCUGAUCCAGCCAUGCCGCGUGUGUGAAGAAGGCCUUCGGGUUGUAAAGCACUUUUGUUGGGAAAGAAAAGCAGCCGGUUAAUACCCGGUUGUCAUGACGGUACCCAAAGAAUAAGCACCGGCUAACUUCGU
rnacentral:rRNA from 1 species